rnacentral:rRNA from 1 species
ACUCCUACGGGAGGCAGCAGUGGGGAAUAUUGCACAAUGGGCGCAAGCCUGAUGCAGCCAUGCCGCGUGUGUGAAGAAGGCCUUCGGGUUGUAAAGCACUUUCAGUCGUGAGGAGGUAGUGUAGUUAAUAGCUGCAUUAUUUGACGUUAGCGACAGAAGAAGCACCGGCUAACUCCGUGCCAGCAGCCGCGGUAAUACGGAGGGUGCGAGCGUUAAUCGGAAUUACUGGGCGUAAAGCGUGCGUAGGCGGUUAUAUAAGCUAGAUGUGAAAGCCCGGGGCUUAACCUCGGAACUGCAUUUAGAACUGUAUGACUAGAGUUUUGUAGAGGGUGGUGGAAUUUCCAGUGUAGCGGUGAAAUGCGUAGAGAUUGGAAGGAACAUCAGUGCGAAGGCGGACCACGCUGGAGCAAAAACUAGACGCUGAGGCACAAAAGCGUGGGUAGCAAACAGGAUUAGAUACCCUGGUAGGAUAGCGU